rnacentral:lncRNA from 1 species
CCAUUUUCUGAAUAUUUCUCUAGUUUCCGUCAUACCGAACUCCUUUAGGUUUUUGAUAGAGUUUCUUUCUCUUUGUAGUUUAGCCAAAGUUCGGUCGACUCUUUCUUUGUUUAGGAACUUCUACACCUUCAAGUGCCAUCCCUCGGCAAAGGAUUGGUGGUACUUCUCCCCCCAGUUCGGUAAGAAGGGGUUGCUGAAAGGCGCCCCCUCUUCUGUCCAUAACUGGAAGGAGAAGUUCCUCUAUGUUCGAUGCCCGACCUUGGAGCUAGGA